GACAUGAAACCACCAUUCUUGGACUCUGAAGAAUACUAUGCAAACCAUGCUUUUGGAUCUACUGUUAAGUUUUUGUAAUAAAGCUGAGGUUUUGGGAUUGAAAAUCUUCUGCCACAUGAUCUUCCGUAAAAAUGCAGCAAGGAUCCAGCUGAUUACUUCAGAUUUGGUGGACUGCUCUUUAUCUGCUGUGACUGUCACUUCUGGUGCAGAAUCAUGGAC